AUUGGAAGCUUGCUUCCGAUGGGCGUCGACCGGCGCACGGGUGAGUAACGCGUAUCCAACCUGCCCACCACUUGGGGAUAACCUUGCGAAAGUAAGACUAAUACCCAAUGACGUCUCUAGAAGACAUCUGAAAGAGAUUAAAGAUUUAUCGGUGAUGGAUGGGGAUGCGUCUGAUUAGCUUGUUGGCGGGGUAACGGCCCACCAAGGCUACGAUCAGUAGGGGUUCUGAGAGGAAGGUCCCCCACAUUGGAACUGAGACACGGUCCAAACUCCUACGGGAGGCAGCAGUGAGGAAUAUUGGUCAAUGGACGAGAGUCUGAACCAGCCAAGUAGCGUGCAGGAUGACGGCCCUAUGGGUUGUAAACUGCUUUUAUAAGGGAAUAAAGUGAGUCUCGUGAGACUUUUUGCAUGUACCUUAUGAAUAAGGACCGGCUAAUUCCGUGCCAGCAGCCGCGGUAAUACGGAAGGUCCGGGCGUUAUCCGGAUUUAUUGGGUUUAAAGGGAGCGUAGGCCGGAGAUUAAGCGUGUUGUGAAAUGUAGACGCUCAACGUCUGCACUGCAGCGCGAACUGGUUUCCUUGAGUACGCACAAAGUGGGCGGAAUUCGUGGUGUAGCGGUGAAAUGCUUAGAUAUCACGAAGAACUCCGAUUGCGAAGGCAGCUCACUGGAGCGCAACUGACGCUGAAGCUCGAAAGUG
rnacentral:rRNA from 1 species